rnacentral:misc_RNA from 1 species
GCCACGAAGUUGCCAAUGAGUGGCGCGACGCACAUAGGUUCGCGUUGCCAGUCACCGACGGAGCUUGAUCGUCUACGUGCCUCUUUAAAUCAGCAAGUUUACAGUUGUGAUCGAGAACAUUUUUCCAAUCACAAUCGAAUAUCUUUGAUGCUUCCUGUAUUGUCUCAAAAAUGAUAUUUUAAUAUUUGUGUAACUUAAAUUCAACAUAAAUUCUGAUAGCAACGUUGAAUAUGUCUAAAAUCGCUCUGAAACUAUAUCGAUCCAAUGUUCGGGUGAAGUGAAUACGAACGUGUAGCUGUGUAGAAUUGUGUAGCGUCGUCGCGUCAUUCCGCGCCAUUCGCCGAUUUGUUUUGACAUGUGUGUGUUCUGCCAUAUUGGAUUAACACGUCGUAUAUUAAGGACUAAAUAGGCGCGAGUUUCGCGCUAAAAAGAGCAAUACUUUUUCGGGACAACAAUGGAUCGUACAACGAGAAUCGCGUGGAUCAUUUAAGGUCGGGGGCGAUCAAUGCCCGAUGGCGUGGACUGGAACGCAACGUUGGAGAAAUCCUGCUCCAGAAGGUGACGAUGUACAACGAUCGAUCGAGCUGCUGGACAAAGUGCUCUCAGAGUACGACGAGCACGAAGCAGAGGGCGAAGGUGGUGGAGGCGUCGGCGUCGGCGUCGGCAGUGGCGGUGGCGGCGGUGGUGACGGUAGUGGAGGUGGGAGCGGCGGAGGUGUUGGGGAUUGUGGCAGCAGCACCGAACCAAGUAUUGGUCUCACACCUGACGACGAAAGUCCGUCCUUAGGACAUCAAUCCGAGGACGACGGUUACAUGAGUAUGAAUGGACGGAAAGCGAAGAUGGCUCUGGUAGCACUACGUCCGGUUCCAGAUUGUCCAGAGCCACAGGAUCUUGCGGGUAUAUCUACCCAAGAAUUUCCACCACCGCCGGAAGAAGCCGAACGAAUCAUUUCUACUUUGUUGCCCAUGGUAUCGCCUGGAAAUUCUUCAAAACGAAACGGCCAUCCAUCAACUCGUCGAAGCGGACGACAACAGUGGAUGAUAGCUAUGGAGGAUAGUAUACGACACGGAAACGGUACUGUUACCACUCAAACAACUCUCCCUAAAACUCGACACCAGAGACCAUAUGGAUGGGAAAAUGGUAAUGGUGAACCAUUAAAAUUAGCUCAACCUCCAAGUCCACCAAGUAAAUUCGCCAGCUUACCAUACGAUGGUAAAGUGUCGUUCGGUUGGAUCCCACCUCGAACCAAUCCAACGACCAUAGAGAAGCAUCGCGAGGUCAGACGUCGAUCCUCCGAGGAGGAGGGACUAGAAGGGAAUAACAAAAACCAUCGACAGAAUUUUGAGAAGGAUCGAACGUCGCAUUUGCGAAAACAACGUCAAAACAAUGAGAUUAUGAAAUCGAGCAGUGUAGAGGAUCGAUUGUUGAUGAAUCACGAACAAUCGGAACAAAACGGUCGUAGAAGGAACGAUUCUGAUUCGAGUGAAGGAAGAUUCUCGAGAAACUCCGAAUCCGAGAGAUCCUCGAUCCCACGCUCGAGUUCGAUCAGUGUCGAAAGAUUUUCCAUGAGAGCGACAUGCGGAUCCUCCGAUUUUUCAAGGGCGAACUCGAUCUCGAACGAGAGAUUCCAUUCUUCAGAUUUCUCGAUAGCCGUGGCCAGUGCCAGCUCGAAUGAUCGUGUUUCCGUGCCGACAUCCGAACCUUUUUCGAUUCGAAACCUCGACUUUGUUUCGUUUUCUUUACCGACGAGAACCGAUUCUAAUGAAAGAUUCUCGGCCCCAACCUCUGACAGAUGUUCCGAAGAGCGUUAUUCCGACAUGUUCUCCACCAGAAACUCGGAUUUCUCGACCAGAAACUCGACGGAUUUUAGAACUCAAUCCGAAGAGGAACGGUUUUCCGAUGAUUCAUUGGAAGAACUUUUACCUCCUCCUCCUCCGAUCAGCAAGAGGCAUUCCAUCGCUUGGGAAGUACCUCUGGAAGAUGAUCCUUUAUACGCUCCAGGAAGUACCAAAGUGAUCGGUAGGAGACGGCGUAAGAGCAGCGAUGUGUCCAGUGUUGGAUCAGCAUCCAAACUUCGCGAUUUCGACGAUUGGCAAGAUCCACGAUUAUCGACUACCGAUGAUGAUUUAAUCUCUCCAUAUUCGGACUCUUCGACAAAUGAACUUGAUCAGAUACGGCCACAAGAUUUAACGAAAAAUGGUACCUACGUGAUACGCCGUGGUCGAAAGAAAGAACGAAAAGGAUUGCCAAAAGCUCCUACCAAAACUAAAAGUUUAUCCUUCGAGAACAGCGAGGAGAAUCCGUUGUCCAACGUGAAACGAUACUCGAGUACCUUUGAUAACAUCAGAAGUCUUUUAAGGGAAAAUAAAAUGGACGAACCGAUCGGACGAGACGAUCCGCCAAUAGAAUUUGCGCCAUCUGUUCCGCCCGAUUUGGUCAGAGUAGUCUCACUUCCGGCGAUUAACGAUGAAACCGAUAAUUGGCCACGGGAAUUGGAAGUCACAGUUGAAGAGGAAGAAAGUUCAGAUCUCUCGGACAAAGAUAAGAAGACUCGAGAAAUAUACGAAUUGAUCCAAUUAUCAUCCUCAUUAUCAUCGAAUGACAAGCCUGAGAAAGAUCUGGCUGAAUCUGUAAAUCAAGAAAAUAAUGAGUCAAAUAGUACAUGUAAUGGAGUUUCUUUUUCAACUUCUAAUAGUUAUUCUAAGGGAUUUAGUCUAGCUAUAACACCACCUGGCGGGAACGCAUUCAUCGAAGAAUCAAAUGCGAGAAAAUCGCCUAAUUCCAGCCUUGGUAAUGAAAAUCGGUUAGCAUCCAAGAUUCCGGUAAAUUUAUUAAUUGAAGAUCAAAUUGUAAAAAAAGCUUUGAAGGAAAAUCGACGACAAUUAGAGAAAGUGAGUGAUGCUAUAAAAGAGAUUGAGAGCGUGAAGAACAGUGAAUCUUAUUCGGAGAAUAAACAACGAUGGAUCCGUAGUGGAGAUGCGAAACAACCAUUAACGAGAAAAACUAGUCUCGAUAACGAAUCCAAUGAACGUGUCACCGCAGAUGCUAGAGCGAAAAAACAACUUGAUUCAGAUCUUGAUUCAGAUUCAGCAUCUAAGACCAGUCCAGAAACGACAGAUAUCGAGGGAAGAAGAAUAAAUGGAACAGAUAUUUAUGCAUCAGGGAAAAGAUUGCGACAGAAUGGUGUCGUUGAUGGUCAUAAGAACGAUCAAAAGCAAAUCGAAAAUGUGAUCGACGCCAUUCUUGAGGAUUCCAAAAAUCCAGAUUUUCAGGUAAGUGUAGAAGUUCUCGAAUUUCCUCCGUUACCACCUUCCCCUGUAGAAGAAGCAGAUGAGGAAAGCUCGGACAUCGGUCAGAGUGCCAUGAUUGUUUCGAAACCAAAAAGUCAUAGCAAUCGAACAAUGGAAUAUAGACCUAGAGUGCCACCUCAUCGUGGCCCUGUUACUACCAAUCAUUCGUUCUCAGAUUCGAAAGAUCAACAAAUAUCUCUCAAUACCAGAUCCAUGGAUGCUGGAUUCUCUCGGGGUAAAAGAACACCUACUGCCACCACUUCCAGACGAGAGCAAAUACCAGUAGAACGAAGAACUUUGCCUACGGAUUUACCAGGACCAUCGCGACGACGGCCUUUUACAAAGAAACACUCACCAUCUGCAGAACCAUGCUCAUCUGUUGGAAAUGGCAAUUGCAGUGGUAAUACUGUCACAAACGGAGUUAACAGUGGAGCUUGUAGUAGUACUAGCGGUGGAACCAGUAGUAAUAUAGCAACCAGUACCAGUGGGAUGCAAACUUCCUGUUCGCUUCCGGAAACUCCUGUUUUUGCUAGAGGAAGCGAUAUUCCUAGAACUCCUCAGCAUGCCAGCAAUCCUACGCAAAUGCGUCGGCAACCUGGUUGGUAUGCCCCAACCUCGGCUACCACCGGGUAUCGCAGGAAUAAUCCGGGUCUGGAGCAAGCGAUAAUCGGGACAGAAUUAUUGCGAUUAGCCGGUGGCCCGAAUCGAGGAUGGUAUCCAACAAGGAAGGCGAACCAACCACGACCAGCUUCGAUCGAACAUCUUGAACGACUGAACAAUGCGUACGAUCCACGCUUGGCAGGUUCCGGAGACCAGAGGAAACCAUUGACUCUACCAACAAACAUCACACCGAACAAAUACUUCGGCCAAAGUAAGCACAGCUCCGCCUCCAGUACUCGCGAGGCGCUACGGAGGGUCACUAGCUUGCUCAUCAAGAAAGGAAGUGGAAGCAAAGAUGGAAAAGGUGGGAAAGAUAAUGCAUCACCGUGUGGUCCUUAUGCAGCGGCCGAGUGUGGGGACGCACCUAAAAAGAAAGGAUUCUUCAAAGGUUUCUGGAAGAGAUCACGUCAUUAUUCAUUGGAGAACCAAUAGCCCAGGUUAGGCGGUAGGGUGAUGGGCCACCAGCAACGACAGACAUCGCGGCAACAACACCAUUAUCGACAACACGUCGCUACAAGCGCUUUGACGCACAGUGCUUGUUGCUGCAUCGUCCAGUAGCCUCGGUCCCGUUUCGUGGUAGAACCAGCGACAAGGUUCGCGUUCUUUCGUCCAUUUCAUCGAGCUUUUAUUCCGCCCGAUCAGUGGUCUCCGAAUACAACAAGCUACGUCAAUCCGUGGGUAAAAUCAUUUUGCGUAUUUUAUGUUUUUCAAUUCUCUUUGAUUUCUUUUCCUUCUCUUCUCCAUCUUUCCCCCACAUUCUCUUUUCCCUUUUCUCUAUUUCAUUCUAUUUUUUUUUUUUGUUCAAUCUCAUUUCUCAUUUCGUUACAUCAUGAUACAAGUAUUAUGUAUAUUAUAUUGUUUAGCUCCUUUCGCACAACUCGUUUGUUCGUUUCAGCAUUUUACUUUAAAGCGUGAAACAGAAUAGAAGCAAUAAUGUAAAGUGCUGCGCGAAUCGUGUCGAUUUUAUCUCCAUCUGGCGUUUCAAAUCAAAUCAUUUUUCGCCGUUCGAUAUUCUUUGAUCAAAUAAGCAACUUAAGUAAAUGUUAUAUAUAUUUACUUUUAUUCGAAAGAUUUGAAUGAUGAUAUUUUCAAAUUUGUUCCUUUAUUUUUUCAAUUAUUAUUAUUUUUUUUUUUUUUCCUUUUUCAACGCGAACCGAAAGUGUUGAAAACGAACACGACAUCCAUAGCGAUUUCUCGCAAUAACCGUAGGCUUCGCUUUCGAGAUGCGCACGCGCGCCCUCUUCCGUAUCUCGAGCGGUAAAAAGUUGGAUAAUUUUCGGAUCGAGAGAGGUAACCGCCGAUUAAAUCGUAAUAAUCUCAUCGGGGUGGAAGGUUAGAUCAAUCGUUUGGAACGGGCAGCUGUUUGAUUAGCAAUGCCAAAAAUACAGUAGUCGGCUUUCUAAUUGACGCAACGACGAUCGACGAUCAUCGUGGUUAGUCAUCCGGUCGACAAGUCGCGACCGAUCGCGAGCAUCAGUCACCUAGGCGUUUCUUUUCCAUCAUCUUCCUUGUGUAUCCAACGCGCGAGCACGUUUAUAGAAAGUGAGUAAUAAAUUAUAAGUUAUCCAGUAUUCGAGUACACGAAUAUUCAAUACGUGUUAGAUUGCGUUAGAUUAUAUAUUAUGGCACAAGC